UAACCACAGCUGCUGACUGGUCACUGAACUGGUCACUCAUAGAGACGCCAGCUCCCUACUAGUCAUGAAGGAGACAAUCCAGGUUGAGGUUUGGAAACGGGGAAGGCACCCUUUCUCUGACCUUGCAGCUCAAGACAAGAACGCCAAAAUUCCAAGGCAGACAAAAACAAGCAACGCUACCAAAACUUUCUGACGGAUACCUUCUCUUUCACAAGUCUGCAGUUUAAGAUUAAUAUACCUCUGUUGGAUCAAGCAACGUAAAUUCAGAUCGUGGACUUCCACACACCCGUUAUCUGGUUUUCCUCUGAACGCCAUUCAUUCCUGUUCAAUAUCUUAACCCUGAUGUUGCUAAGAUCUCACUGGCUCACUGGAGAGUGGUGAAUGGGUGGGGAUUGUUGAAACCAGCCAUCAGACUCAAAUUCAUUUUUAUGUGUCUGGCCAGCCUCACCAUUUCGGAGUAUUAAAUACCCUGUCACACUUGAAGUCAGCCCUAAUGUUAAAGGAUGGAUUAUUUCUUCAAAAGCAGAGCAGAAGUAGCCGGUAGGCCUGCCUCCUAUGUUAGAAUGAGUGUGUGAACGACUCAAGAUUGACCAAUUACAGAUGGAGUCCGCUAAGCGUGUCAGCCCUGCUGGAGGCAGACAAGUUAUUGGGCUGAGUAAUGAAAAAUGGAAUGAGACGG